GUCGAGAAUUUUUCACAAUGGGGGAAACCCUGAUGGAGCGACGCCGCGUGGGGGAUGAAUGGCUUCGGCCCGUAAACCCCUGUCAUUUGCGAUCAACCGUUAUUAUUUAAAAGAUGAUGACCUGAUAGUAGCGAAAGAGGAAGGGACGGCUAACUCUGUGCCAGCAGCCGCGGUAAUACAGAGGUCCCGAGCGUUGUUCGGAUUCACUGGGCGUAAAGGGUGCGUAGGUGGUGAGGUGUGUCGGAUGUGAAAUCUCGGAGCUCAACUCCGAAACUGCAUUGGAAACUACCUUGCUGGAGGGUUGGAGGGGGGACUGGAAUACUUGGUGUAGCAGUGAAAUGCGUAGAUAUCAAGUGGAACACCAGUGGCGAAGGCGAGUCCCUGGACAACUCCUGACACUGAGGCACGAAAGCUAGGGGAGCAAACAGGAUUAGAAACCCGAGUAGUCC
rnacentral:rRNA from 1 species